GAACCACCUGAUCCCAUGCCGAACUCAGAAGUGAAACGCGGUAGCGCCGAUGGUAGUGUGGCAUUCGCCAUGCGAGAGUAGGACACUGCCAGGC
rnacentral:rRNA from 1 species